rnacentral:rRNA from 1 species
GGUUCGAUUCUGCUCAGAUUGAACGCUGGCGGGAUGCUUUACAUGCAAGUCGAACGGCAGCACGACUUCGGUCUGGUGGCGAGUGGCGAACGGGCGAGUAAUGUAUCGGAACGUAGUUUGUAGUGGGGAUAACUACGCGAAAGCGGUUAAUACCGCAUAUUGCUCCUUUCGGGAAAGCGGGGACCUCGGGCCUCGCACUAUUAGAGCGGCCGAUACUGGAUUAGCUAGUUGGUGGGUAACGGCUCACCGGGCUGGCGACGAUCCGUAGCUGGUUUGAGAGGACGACCAGCCACACUGGGAUCAGACACGGUACCCAGACUCCUACGGGAGGCAGCGCAGUGGGGAAUUUUGGACAAUGGGGAACCCUGAUCCGCCAUCCGCGUGUGCGAUGAAGGCCUUCGGUUGUAAAAGCACUUUGGCAGUGGGAAAGAAACGGCACGGGAUAAUACCCCGUGCAACUGAUGGUACCUGCAGAAUAAGCACUGGCUAACUACGUGCCAGCAGCCGCGGUAAUACGUAGGUGCAAGCGUUAAUCGGAAUUAUCAUGCAAGCGUGCGCAGGCGGUUCGGAAAGAAAGAUGUGAAAUCCCAGAGCUUAACUUUGAACUGCAUUUUUAAUCAUCGAGCUAGAGCGGUAACAGGGAGGUGGAAUUCCGGCGUAGCAGGAAAUGUAGAUAUGCGGAGAACACCGAUGGCGAAGGCAGCCUCCUGGGAUAACACUGACGCUCAUGCACGAAAGGGCAAGAGCAAAUACAUUAGAUACCCUGUAACCACGCCCUAAACGAUGUCAACUAGCUGUUGGGGCUCUGGCCUUGGUAGCGCAGCUAACGCGGUGAAGUUGACCGCCUGGGGGGAGCAUUUGGCUGCAAGAUUAAAACUCAAAGGAAUUGACGGGGACCUGCACAAGCGGUGGAUGAUGUGGAUUAAUUCGAUGCAACGCGAAAACCUUACCUACUCCCUGACAUGUCUGGAAUCCCGAAGAGAUUUGGGAGUGCUCGUAAGAGAACCGAACACAGGUGCUUACAUGCCGCUACUCGUGUCGCAGAUGUUGGGUUAAGUCCCAAAUGAGCGCAACCCCUUGUCAUUAGUUGUUACGAAAGGCACUCUAUCGAGACUGCCGGUGACAAACCGGAGAAGGGGAUGACGUCGGUCCUCAUGGUCUCUGUGGGUGGGGCUUCACACGUCAUACAAUGGUCGGGACAGAGGGUCGCUAAACUCGCGAGGGGAGCCAAUCCCAGAAACCCGAUCGUAGUCCGGAUCGCAGUCUGCAACUCGACUGCGUGAAGUCGGAAUCGCUAGUAAUCGCGGAUCAGCAUGUCGCGGUGAAUACGUUCCCGGCUCCUACACCGCCCGUCACAUUCAUGUGAGUGGGUUUACCAGAAGUAGUUAGGCCUUAACCGUAAGGAGGGCGAUUACCACGGUAGGAUUCAUGACCGGGGUGAAGUCAACAAGGUAGC